rnacentral:rRNA from 1 species
GACGAACGCUGGCGGCGUGCUUAACACAUGCAAGUCGAACGAAGUGGCGAACGGGUGAGUAACGCGUAAUCAACCUGCCCUUCAGCGGGGGACAACAGUUGGAAACGACUGCGAAUACCGCAUACUGAAGGAGGGGAUUGCGUUUGAUUAGCUAUUUGGAGGGGUAACGGCCCACCAAGGCGAGGAUCAGUAGCCGGUCGGAGAGGGUGAACGUGCACAGUGGGACGUAGGCCCGGCCCAGAAUCCUACGGGAGGGAGCAGUGGGGAAUCUUCCGCAAUGGACGAAAGUCUGACGGAGCAACGCCGCGUGAGUGAUGACGGCCUUCGGGUUGUAAAGCUCUGUUAAUCGGGACGCGGUACCGGAAUAGAAAGCCACGGCUAACUACGUGCCAGCCGCCGCGGUAAUUC